GGUGAACGCUGGCGGCGUGCCUAAUACAUGCAAGUCGAGCGAACGGACGAGAAGCUUGCUUCUCUGAUGUUAGCGGCGGACGGGUGAGUAACACGUGGAUAACCUACCUAUAAGACUGGGAUAACUUCGGGAAACCGGAGCUAAUACCGGAUAAUAUUUUGAACCGCAUGGUUCAAAAGUGAAAGACGGUCUUGCUGUCACUUAUAGAUGGAUCCGCGCUGCAUUAGCCAGUUGGUAAGGUAACGGCUUACCAAGGCAACGAUGCAUAGCCGACCUGAGAGGGUGAUCGGCCACACUGGAACUGAGACACGGUCCAGACUCCUACGGGAGGCAGCAGUAGGGAAUCUUCCGCAAUGGGCGAAAGCCUGACGGAGCAACGCCGCGUGAGUGAUGAAGGUCUUCGGAUCGUAAAACUCUGUUAUUAGGGAAGAACAUAUGUGUAAGUAACUGUGCACAUCUUGACGGUACCUAAUCAGAAAGCCACGGCUAACUACGUG
rnacentral:rRNA from 1 species